UACGUAGGGUGCAAGCGUUAAUCGGAAUUACUGGGCGAAAGCGUGCGCAGGCGGUUUUGUAAGUUUGUCGUGAAAUGCCCGGGGCUUAACCUGGGAACUGCAUUUGUGACUGCAUGGCUAGAGUUUGGCAGAGGGGGGUAGAAUUCCACGUGUAGCAGUGAAAUGCGUAGAUAUGUGGAGGAACACCGAUGGCGAAGGGCAGCCCCCUGGGUCAAGA
rnacentral:rRNA from 1 species